rnacentral:rRNA from 1 species
CCCAGACUCCUACGGGAGGCAGCAGUGGGGAAUAUUGCACAAUGGGGGGAACCCUGAUGCAGCGACGCCGCGUGGGUGAAGGAGCACCUCGGUGCGUAAAGCCCUCUCGGCAGGGAAGAAAAGCGAACAGGUUCGCCUUGACGGUACCUGACUAAGAAGCCCCGGCUAACUACGUGCCAGCAGCCGCGGUAAUUCGUAGGGGGCAAGCGUUAUCCGGAUUCACUGGGUGUAAAGGGAGCGUAGACGGCGACGCAAGUCUGGAGUGAAAGCCCGGGGGCCAACCCCGGGACUGCUUUUGAAACUGCGUUGCUAGAGUGCGGGAGAGGCAAGUGGAAUUCCUAGUGAAGCGGUGAAAUGCGUAGAUAUUAGGAGGAACACCAGUGGCGAAGGCG